GGGAAGAUGGCCGAGCGGUUAAGGCGCCACGUUAAGGCUCCGAAGUCUUUAAUCAUCAUCUGUUCCUCAGAUUCCGUGGUUCGAAAGAGCGUGGGUUCGAUUCCCACUCUUCUCA